GUGCUGGCUUCCACAGCACAUAUACUAACAUUGGAAUAAUACAGAGAAGACUAGCAAGCCCCCAUGCAAAGAUGAAAUGAGAAUUCCUAAAUCAUUUCAUAUCUUU